rnacentral:rRNA from 1 species
UACGUAGGGUGCAGGCGUUAAUCGGAAUUACUGGGCGUAAAGCGUGCGCAGGCGGUUUGCUAAGACAGGUGUGAAAUCCCCGGGCUUAACCUGGGAACUGCGCUUGUAACUGGCAAGCUAGAGUGUGGCAGAGGGGGGUGGAAUUCCACGUGUAGCAGUGAAAUGCGUAGAGAUGCGGAGGAACACCGAUGGCGAAGGCAGCCCCCUGGGCCAACACUGACGCUCAGGCACGAAAGCGUGGGGAGCAAACAGG